CAAGACGUAGCUUAUAAAAGUUUAUUACUUACAUUAAUAGGAAGAUUAUUUCAUUAAUCUGUUUUGA
rnacentral:tRNA from 1 species